rnacentral:rRNA from 1 species
GACGAACGCUGGCGGCGUGCCUAAUACAUGCAAGUUGAGCGCUGAAGUCUGGUGCUUGUCCGAACUGGCUGAGCAGCGCACGGGUGAGUAACGCGUGGGCACUCUGCCUUUUAGCGGGGGACAACAUUUGGAAUCGGAUUCUAAUACCGUAUAAAAACUUUAAACACAAAUUUUAAGUUUGAAAGAUGCAAUUGCAUCACUCAAACACUAUCCCUCGUUGUAUUGGCUAGUUGGUGAGGUAAAGGCUCACCAAGGCGAUGUCACCUAGCCGACCGGAGCUGGUGAUCGGCCCAAUUGAGACUGAGACCCGGCCCAACCUCCUACGGGGAGCAGCAGUACGGAAACUUCGGCAAUAGACGAAAGGCUGACCACGCAGCGCCGCGAGAGUGAAGAAGCUUUUCGGAUCGGAAAACUCUGUUGGUAGAGAAGAACGGUCGUGAGAGUGGAAAGCUCAUCAAGUGACGGUAACUAGAAAAAAAGGGACGGCUAACUACGUG